rnacentral:rRNA from 1 species
GACGAACCGAGCGAACGUUGUUCGGAAUCACUGGGCUUAAAGGGCGCGUAGGCGGGUACUCAAGUCUGUGGUGAAAUCCUCCGGCUCAACCGGAGAACUGCCAUGGAUACUGGGUGUCUCGAGGGUGGUAGGGGUAUGCGGAACUAUCGGUGGAGCGGUGAAAUGCGUUGAUAUCGAUAGGAACUCCGGUGGCGAAGGCGGCAUACUGGACCACUUCUGACGCUGAGGCGCGAAAGCCAGGGGAGCGAACGGG